rnacentral:rRNA from 1 species
AGUGAACGCUGGCGGUAGGCCUAACACAUGCAAGUCGAACGGCAGCACAGUAAGAGCUUGCUCUUACGGGUGGCGAGUGGCGGACGGGUGAGGGAUACAUCGGAAUCUACUUUUUCGUGGGGGAUAACGUAGGGAAACUUACGCUAAUACCGCAUACGACCUACGGGUGAAAGCAGGGGAUCUUCGGACCUUGCGCGAUUGAAUGAGCCGAUGUCGGAUUAGCUAGUUGGCGGGGUAAAGGCCCACCAAGGCGACGAUCCGUAGCUGGUCUGAGAGGAUGAUCAGACACACUGGAACUGAGACACGGUCCAGACUCCUACGGGAGGCAGCAGUGGGGAAUAUUGGACAAUGGGCGCAAGCCUGAUCCAGCCAUACCGCGUGGGUGAAGAAGGCCUUCGGGUUGUAAAGCCCUUUUGUUGGGAAAGAAAAGCAGCAGGUUAAUACCCCACUGUUCUGACGGUACCCAAAGAAUAAGCACCGGCUAACUUCGUG